UACGAAGGGGGCUAGCGUUGCUCGGAAUUCACUGGGCGUAAAGCGCACGUAGGCGGAUUGCUAAAGUCAGGGGUGAAAUCCUGGAGCUCAACUCCCAGAACUGGCCUUUGAUACUGGCGGAUCUCGAGUUCGGGAGAGGUGAGUGGGAACUGCGAAGUGUAGAGGUGAAAUUCGUAGAUAUUCGCAAGAACACCAGUGGCGGAAGGCGGCUCACUGGCCCGAUACUGACGCUGAGGUGGCGAA
rnacentral:rRNA from 1 species